AACAAACGCUGGCGGCGUGCCUAACACAUGCAAGUCGUACGAGAAAGGGUCCUUCGGGGCCUGAGUAAAGUGGCGCACGGGAGAGUAACGCGUGGAUAAUCUGCCCUUCAGUUGGGAAUAACUCAUCGAAAGGUGGGCUAAUACCGAAUAAUGCUGUGAGAACUUGGUUGAUCAGCCAAAGAGAGCCUCUGCUUUCAAGCCCUCGCUGAAGGAUGAGUCCGCGUACCAUUAGCUAAUUGGUAGGGUAAUGGCGUACCAAGGCGACGAUGGUUAGCUGGUCUGAGAGGAUGAUCAGCCACACUGGAACUGAGACACGGUCCAGACUCCUACGGGAGGCAGCAGUGAGGAAUCUUGCGCAAUGGGGGCAACCCUGACGCAGCAACGCCGCGUGAGUGAGGAAGGUCUUCGGAUCGUAAAGCUCUGUCGGAUGGAAAGAACCGCAUAGGGGUAAACAGCCCCUGUGUCUGACGGUACCAUCAAAGGAAGCACCGGCUAACUCCGUGCCAGCAGCCGCCGUAACAC
rnacentral:rRNA from 1 species